rnacentral:rRNA from 1 species
GACGAACGCUGGCGGCGUGCCUAAUACAUGCAAGUCGAACGAACCGCGACUAGGUGCUUGCACUUGGUCAAGGUGAGUGGCGAACGGGUGAGUAACACGUGGGUAACCUACCUCAUAGUGGGGGAUAACAGUCGGAAACGACUGCUAAUACCGCAUAGGACAUAGGAUCACAUGAUUCUGUGAGGAAAGGUGGCGCAAGCUAUCGCUAAGAGAUGGACCCGCGGUGCAUUAGCUAGUUGGUAGGGUAAAGGCCUACCAAGGCGAUGAUGCAUAGCCGACCUGAGAGGGUGAUCGGCCACAUUGGGACUGAGACACGGCCCAAACUCCUACGGGAGGCAGCAGUAGGGAAUCUUCCGCAAUGGACGCAAGUCUGACGGAGCAACGCCGCGUGAGUGGAGAAGGUCUUCGGAUCGUAAAGCUCUGUUGUUAGAGAAGAACAGCGCAUAGAGUAACUGUUAUGCGUGUGACGGUAUCUAACCAGAAAGCCACGGCUAACUACGUG